UAUAAGUGCAGGUAUGAUUUUCCAUGUCUAACAUUUAACCGUUCGUCUUAUUUGAAAAAUAAAUAUGAUUAGUAUUUUUGUUGUUAUUAGAUGAUAAACAUGAAUGGUUAUUUAUGUGUGAGUAUUUUUUUUAUUUUUUUAUAAAAUUUUGAAAUAAGAUGGACAGUUAAACGUAAUAUUUAACUGUAUUUAAA
rfam:Oryza glumipatula chromosome 3, whole genome shotgun sequence.